GACGAACCGUGCGAACGUUGUUCGGAUUCACUGGGCUUAAAGGGCGCGUAGGCGGACCCAAAAGUCCGGGGUGAAAUCUAUCGGCUUAACCGGAAAAUCGCCUUGGAUACUGUGGGUCUCGAGGGAGGUAGGGGCAUGCGGAACUUCCGGUGGAGCGGUGAAAUGCGUUGAUAUCGGAAGGAACUCCGGUGGCGAAAGCGGCGUGCUGGAUCUCUUCUGACGCUGAGGCGCGAAAGCCAGGGGAGCAAACGGG
rnacentral:rRNA from 1 species